GGAGGAUCCCCUGAAGGAGGAAUUGGUAACCCACUCCAGUACGCUUGCCUGGAAAAUCCUAUAGACGGAGGAUCCUGGUAGGCUACACUCCAUGGGGUUGCAAAGAGUCGGGCACGACUGAGUGAUGUAACCUUCACCCUUUAAGUGAGACAUAGACGGGUUUUAUUUCUUUUCACUUUAAAAUUUUUAUUUUUUAUUUGGGUAUAGCCAGUUAACAAUGUUGUGGUAGUUUCAGGUGAAUAGCGAAGGGACUCAGCCGUACAUGUACAUGGAGGUACAGACGGAUUUUGCCAGCCUCCUGGAGUCUGACCUUUCGUGCUGGAUUGCACGCCGAGGAGAGAAAUUUAGGGAUCGUGUGUUACGCUGAUGCAAAAGUUUUUAAGGAAUAAAUAAGUUGUAAAACAGUGAAUAGACAUACUAUAGAGACAAAAUAAAAGCAUGUGUAUAUUUCAUGUGUAUAAACAUACGGAUUUAAGGUUACCUCUCAAAGUGCUAGUCGGUGGACUUACUUUCUGUGCAGAUGCUUCCUGUUUCAUUCUCACGAUAUCCCAAGGACCAUGCUUUUCCUUUGCUUACCAUACAGAAUACAAGAAAUGAGGAUUCUGAAAUAGAAACUGAUGACUAAAAUAAGGGCAAGAAAGAUGACGUGCUUGCUUGAAGAGUGAGGUAUACGCAGCAGGUUUCUCAUUUGAAUUACAGCAAACUGGAAGACAGUGGUGCUGACACAGACUGAUCUCAUUCGCCUUUAAGAAUGGACUCCAACACGUGGAAGGAAAGAAUGCACUUCAUGAAAAGUGAAAUACUGCAGAAUCCUCCAUUCCAAAGAGCUGAGGUGUGGACUCCAGGCCUGGACUAUAGAAGUUCGAGGUGGAGCCUGUCCUGGGAAGUGCAAGCAGGCAGGCUCUUGAGGAGGCCCUGGGUGAACACGGUACACAGAGCACCUGCUCUCAGGAAGAUGGCCUUGAGCACAGGAGUUGGUUGUUUCACAGAGCCUCAACUGAGCCCACACUCUGAAAACACAGAACUCAGGAGAUGGAAGAAAGGAAAUCAGCAGUCUUGGAGGAUGAGAAACCCCAAAGAAAAGCAAGGUAAUGGUCGAGGAGCUGUUUGCCAAGGGAGGUGAGGAUAAGGACAAGUUGAGCUUUGAAAAUUCAAGAGUAAGUGAGGAAUGCACAGUAUCAUCCAAGUCCUCAAGGAGCAGGCUGAGCUGAGCAGGAAGGACCAGGAGAGUAACUUAGUCCAGUGUGAACUUGUGCACCUGCCGAGGGGAUCCACAUGCUGGGUCAGAGUUGGUUUAUCCUGCUGGGAGCACCAGUUCCAGGAGGAGGACAAUGGGACCUUGAGGCUCUGCCCUAGACCCCCAGCCUCAAACUUGGAAGUGGCCACACAGUGGAUGUCCUCCAAGUAAGCGUGCAAUAAGGUGGAUAAAUGAUGUUUGGAGAAGAAUUAGAGAUAUGUAUUCAUAGCAGGGGCCAGAUUAAUGGGACCCUGUUUCUGAAGCAAAAAUGGUAAUAAUAUUCUUCUGGAUUUAUAGUUUGGGGCUUUACACACAGCAUCUGUUCACUAUAUGCUUAAUGUUUAAUUUGCCUUAUGCUGUGUUAACAACUUGGAGUUCAGAUAUCAGUAAUACAUCCAUGAAGAAUUUAAACAGUGAGAGGACAAAUACAAAUGCAUAGUGUCAACCAAAUGUGGUGGUUCUCCUCAGGUGGGAUAUCGUGGCCACUAGAGGAUGGGAGGAUACGCUAAGGACAUCUCUUCCUAAUGACAGUGUGAACUGUUGAGAGGAAUCCCCGAGGACAGUCGUGUUUUCAUAGCCAGCUCAGAUGAGUGUCCUAGGGCAAGGAUAGUGUAGGCAGGCUUCUGUCUAAGGAAGGAGAUUGCUACAUCCUGGGAGAAAGCAGAGCAUCCCUGACUGCACAGUUGUACAGGAGCGUUACAGAUGAGUAAAGACUUGUAACCAUGUUUAUCCAGUCAGUGAACAAAUGUUUCCGAGAGCCUCGUCAGUGUUUGAAUCAAUGCCAGGAGUCAUGCACACAGUGAUGGAUGAAAUAUCAUCCCCAAUUUCAUGGAGCUCUCCAUCUAAUAACAACAAAACCAUGAGAGGUGUAGUGGAUGGUGGGUUCACUGGAAGAGAUGGUCAGUGCUGGCUACCCUGACUUCAUGGGUGGUCUGGUCCCCCUGCUCAUUUUCCCAACAAUUGUAUGUCUCUCCUGGCCCCCAAAUCCUGGUUCUCAGCCAGAUUUGAGCCUUUCAGGAUACAGCUAGCACCUGGGCUCCGUGUUGGCUCAAAGCAGUCAGCUCCGCCACAGUCUCUAGAGAAAACUCCUAGUAUCAGUAGCUACUGAUGAUGUCUUGGCAGCUGGAGAGAUAAGGAGGCAAGUUUCAUUUGUCUUACAAGUUCAUGCUUGUCAUAAUGACUCAUGAUUAACAGUUUCCUCUCUUAUAAGCUACUUUCCAGACUUUCUCCAUAUCAAAAAUAAUUUAUGUAUCCAUCUUAUUUCCAGAAUUAUAGAACUUGGUGUUUUAUUCCUAAUUUUGGAGCAAGUAACUAAAGUAAAAAAGGGGGAAAGCAAAUUCCUAGUUUACAUUGAGACAAUAGGAUGCUCUUUUCAUACUGUCAGUGGGGUUCUCCAGGCAAGAAUACUGGAGCAGUUUGCCAAUUCCUUCACAGUGGACUCUGGUGACUGUAUCCGUGAAAUUAAAAGACACUUGCUCCUUGGAAGAAAAGCUUUGACAAACCUUACAGUGUAUUAAAAAGUGGAGACACCACUUUUCUGACA